CCUACGGGAGGCAGCAGUGGGGAAUAUUGCACAAUGGGGGAAACCCUGAUGCAGCGACGCCGCGUGAGUGAAGAAGUAUUUCGGUAUGUAAAGCUCUAUCAGCAGGGAAGAAAAUGACGGUACCUGAUUAAGAAGCUCCGGUUAACUACGUGCCAGCAGCCGCGGUAAUACGUAGGGGGCAAGCGUUAUCCGGAUUUACUGGGUGUAAAGGGAGCGUAGACGGCAGCACAAGUCUGGAGUGAAAUGCCGGGGCUUAACCCCGGAGCUGCGUUGGAAACUGUGCAGCUAGAGUGAAGGAGAGGUAAGUGGAAGUCCUAGUGUAGCGGUGAAAUGCGUAGAUAUUAGGAGGAACACCAGUGGCGAAGGCGGCUUGCUGGACUGUAACUGACGUUGAGGCUCGAAAGCGUGGGGAGCAAACAGGAUUAGAUACCCCAGUAGUC
rnacentral:rRNA from 1 species